rnacentral:rRNA from 1 species
GAUCCUACGGGGCGCAGCAGUGAGGAAUAUUGGUCAAUGGCCGGGAGGCUGAACCAGCCAAGUCGCGUGAGGGAAGACGGCCCUACGGGUUGUAAACCUCUUUUGUCAGGGAGCAAGAGGCGGGUCGAGACCUGCUGUGAGAGUACCUGAAGAAAAAGCAUCGGCUAACUCCGUGCCAGCAGCCGCGGUAAUACGGAGGAUGCGAGCGUUAUCCGGAUUUAUUGGGUUUAAAGGGGGCGCAGGCGGAGGCACAAGUCAGCGGUAAAAUCGCGGGGCUCAACCCCGCUCCGCCGCUGUAACUGUGU